UACGUAGGGGGCUAGCGUUGUCCGGAAUCAUUGGGCGUAAAGAGCGCGUAGGCGGCCAGAUAAGUCCGGUGUGAAAGUCACAGGCUCAACCUGUGAAUGCCGCUGGAAACUGUCUGGCUAGAGUCCGGAAGGGGCGAGUGGAAUUCCUGGUGUAGCGGUGAAAUGCGCAGAUAUCAGGAGGAACACCAACUGCGAAGGCAGCUCGCUGGGACGUUACUGACGCUGAGACGCGAAAGCGUGGGGAGCGAACAGG
rnacentral:rRNA from 1 species